AGUGAACGCUGGCGGUAGGCCUAACACAUGCAAGUCGAACGGCAGCACAGCAGUAGCAAUACUGUGGGUGGCGAGUGGCGGACGGGUGAGGAAUACGAUCCGGGAAAUCUACCUUUUCGUGGGGGAUAACGUAGGGAAACUUACGGCUAAGUACCGCAUACGACCUUAGGGUGAAAGUAGGGGAUCGCAAGACCUUACGCGGAUAGAUGAGCCGAUGUCGGAUUAGCUAGNGGCGGGGUAAAGGCCCACCAAGGCUACGAUCCGUAGCUGGUCUGAGAGGAUGAUCAGCCACACUGGAACUGAGACACGGUCCAGACUCCUACGGGAGGCAGCAGUGGGAAUAUUGGACAAUGGGCGCAAGCCU
rnacentral:rRNA from 1 species